rnacentral:rRNA from 1 species
GAUGAACGCUGGCGGCGUGCCUAAUACAUGCAAGUCGAGCGGAGCGGCGGACGGGUGAGUAAUGCCUAGGAAUCUGCCUGGUAGUGGGGGAUAACGUCCGGAAACGGUCGCUAAUACCGCAUACUAUCAGAUGAGCCUAGGUCGGAUUAGCUAGUUGGUGGGGUAAAGGGCUAACAAGGCGAAGAUCCGUAACUGGUCUGAGAGGAUGAUCAGUCACACGGGAACUGAGACACGGUCCAGACUCCUACGGGAGGAAGCAGUGGGGAAGAUUGGACAAUGGUCGAAAGUCUGAUCCAGCCAUGCCGCGUGUGUGAAGAAGGUCUUCGGAUUGUAAAGCACUUUAAGUUGGGAGGCGUUACCAACAGAAUAAGCACCGGCUAACUUCGUGCCAGCAGCCGCGGUAAUUC